CCUACGGGAGGCAGCAGUGGGGAAUUUUGGACAAUGGGCGAAAGCCUGAUCCAGCAAUGCCGCGUGUGUGAAGAAGACCUUCGGGUUGUAAAGCACUUUUGUCCGGAAAGAAAUGGCUCUGGUUAAUACCUGGGGUCGAUGACGGUACCGGAAGAAUAAGGACCGGCUAACUACGUGCCAGCAGCCGCGGUAAUACGUAGGGUCCAAGCGUUAAUCGGAAUUACUGGGCGUAAAGCGUGCGCAGGCGGUUGUGCAAGACCGAUGUGAAAUCCCCGAGCUUAACUUGGGAAUUGCAUUGGUGACUGCACGGCUAGAGUGUGUCAGAGGGGGGUAGAAUUCCACGUGUAGCAGUGAAAUGCGUAGAGAUGUGGAGGAAUACCGAUGACGAAGGCAGCCCCCUGGGAUAACACUGACGCUCAUGCACGAAAGCGUGGGGAGCAAACAGGAUUAGAUACCCUGGUAGUCCACGCCCUAAACGAUGUCAACUAGUUGUUGGGGAUUCAUUUCCUUAGUAACGUAGCUAACGCGUGAAGUUGACCGCCUGGGGAGUACGGUCGCAAGAUUAAAACUCAAAUGAAUUGACGGGG
rnacentral:rRNA from 1 species